rnacentral:rRNA from 1 species
AGGAUUCCCCUAGUAACUGCGAGUGAAGCGGGAAAAGCUCAAAUUUAAAAUCUGGUAGUCUCUGGCUGCCCGAGUUGUAAUCUAGAGAAGUGUUAUCCGCGCUGGACCGUGUACAAGUCUCCUGGAAUGGAGCGUCAUAGAGGGUGAGAAUCCCGUCUUUGACACGGACUACCAGGGCUUUGUGAUGCGCUCUCAAAGAGUCGAGUUGUUUGGGAAUGCAGCUCUAAAUGGGUGGUAAAUUCCAUCUAAAGCUAAAUAUUGGCGAGAGACCGAUAGCGAACAAGUACCGUGAGGGAAAGAUGAAAAGAACUUUGGAAAGAGAGUUAAAUAGUACGUGAAAUUGUUGAAAGGGAAACGCUUGAAGUCAGUCGCGUUGGCUAGGAAUCAGCCUUGCUUUUGCUUGGUGUACUUCCUUGUUGACGGGUCAGCAUCAAUUUUGACCGGUGGAAAAAGGCUAGUGGAAUGUGGCAUCUUCGGAUGUGUUAUAGCUGCUAGUUGUAUACAUCGGUUGGGAUUGAGGAACUCAGCACGCCGAAAGGUCGGGGUUUUGCCCACGUUCGUGCUUAGGAUGCUGGCAUAAUGGCUUUAAUCGACCCGUCUUGAAACACGGACCAAGGAGUCUAACAUGCCUGCGAGUGUUUGGGUGGAAAACCCGAGCGCGUAAUGAAAGUGAAAGUUGAGAUCCCUGUCGUGGGGAGCAUCGACGCCCGGACCAGACCUUUUGUGACGGAUCCGCGGUAGAGCAUGUAUGUUGGGACCCGAAAGAUGGUGAACUAUGCCUGAAUAGGGUGAAGCCAGAGGAAACUCUGGUGGAGGCUCGUAGCGAUUCUGACGUGCAAAUCGAUCGUCAAAUUUGGGUAUAGGGGCGAAAGACUAAUCGA